rnacentral:rRNA from 1 species
GACGAACGCUGGCGGCGCGCCUAACACAUGCAAGUCGAACGGAGCUGAGAGAAGCUUGCUUUUCUUAGCUUAGUGGCGAACGGGUGAGUAACGCGUGAGUAACCUGCCCUGGAGUGGGGGACAACAGUUGGAAACGGCUGCUAAUACCGCAUAAGCCCACGAUCCGGCAUCGGAUUGAGGGAAAAGGAUUUAUUCGCUUCAGGAUGGACUCGCGUCCAAUUAGCUAGUUGGUGAGGUAACGGCCCACCAAGGCGACGAUUGGUAGCCGGACUGAGAGGUUGAACGGCCACAUUGGGACUGAGACACGGCCCAGACUCCUACGGGAGGCAGCAGUGGGGGAUAUUGCACAAUGGGGGAAACCCUGAUGCAGCGACGCCGCGUGGAGGAAGAAGGUUUUCGGAUUGUAAACUCCUGUCGUUAGGGACGAUAAUGACGGUACCUAACAAGAAAGCACCGGCUAACUACGUG